AUUGAACGCUGGCGGCAGGCCUAACACAUGCAAGUCGAACGAGUGGCGGACGGGUGAGUAAUGUCUGGGAAUCUGCCCGAUGGAGGGGGAUAACUACUGGAAACUGUAGCUAAUACCGCAUACCAUCGGAUGUGCCCAGAUGGGAUUAGGUAGUGGGUGGGGUAAUGGCUCACCAAGGCGACGAUCCCUAGCUGGUCUGAGAGGAUGACCAGCCACACUGGGACUGAGACACGGCCCAGACUCCUACGGGAGGCAGCAGUGGGGAAGAUUGCACAAGGGGGGCAAGCCUGAGGCAGACAUGCGGCGUGUAUGAAGAAGGCCUUCGGGUUGUAAAGUACUUUCAGUGAGGAGGCGUUACCCGCAGAAGAAGCACCGGCUAACUCCGUGCCAGCAGCCGCGGUAAUUC
rnacentral:rRNA from 1 species